GAUCAGCCAUGCCGCGUGCAGGAAGACAGCUUUCUGAGUUGUAAACUGCUUUUAUAUGGGAAAAAAAAGGCCUUGCGAGGCAAAUUGCCGGUACCAUAUGAAUAAGCACCGGCUAACUCCGUGCCAGCAGCCGCGGUAAUACGGAGGGUGCAAGCGUUGUCCGGAUUUAUUGGGUUUAAAGGGUGCGUAGGCGGAUCUUUAAGUCAGUGGUGAAAUCCUGCAGCUUAACUGUAGAACUGCCAUUGAUACUGGAGGUCUUGAGUAUACUAGAGGUAGGCGGAAUUUAUGGUGUAGCGGUGAAAUGCAUAGAUACCAUAAAGAACACCAAUAGCGUAGGCAGCUUACUUGAGUAUAACUGACGCUGAGGCACGAAAGCAUGGGUAGCGAACAGGAUUAGAUACCCUGGUAGUCCAUGCCGUAAACGAUGAUUACUCGAUGUUGGCGAUAUACUGUCAGCGUCCAAGCGAAAGCGUUAAGUAAUCCACCUGGGGAGUACGCUCGCAAGAGUGAAACU
rnacentral:rRNA from 1 species